rnacentral:rRNA from 1 species
AUGACCACACGCGCUAAAACAGGCUACUUAAUGCCAAAACGACUCUUUCUUGCCGACGCCUCCUCCACCAUCUCACCUAUUCCUCCCACGUAUAAAUCAGCCCUUAAGGAUCCCCAUUGGCGUCAAGCAAUGUUAGAUGAGUAUAAUGCAUUAAUGAACAACUUCACUUGGUCUUUGGUGCCUAAGCCUGCAAGUGCGAAUGUGGUUACGGGCAAGUGGAUCUUCAGGCACAAAUUCAACACAGAUGGGUCUCCGACACGGUACAAGGCUCGGUGGGUCGUCCGUGGCUUCUCACAACAAGAAGGUGUGGACUACGAUGAGACGUUCAGUCCAGUGGUCAAGCCAGCAACCAUUCGGGUGGUAUUGAGUCUUGCCACCAGUCAUUCAUGGCCCAUUCAUCAACUUGACGUCAAGAGUGCAUUUCUUCAUGGUGAGCUCAAUGAAACAGUGUAUUGCUCGCAACCGGCCGGUUUUGUGGACUCCUCCAAGCCGGAUCAUGUGUGCCUUCUCAACAAGUCACUAUAUGGUCUCAAACAAGCCCCUCGGACGUGGUUCUUGCGCUUUCAAGCAUUUCUUUUAUCUCUUGGGUUUCGGGCAUCCAAGAGUGACACGUCCCUGUUCAUCCUACAUCAUGGUAACUCCCUUGCCUAUCUUCUCGUUUAUGUGGAUGAUAUCAUUCUCACCGCAAGCUCACCCCACACACUCACCCACAUCAUCUCCUCUCUUAAGCGCGAGUUUGCCAUGACUGACCUUGGUGCCUUACACCAUUUCUUGGGCAUCAAUGUCACCUCCAACCAGUCCGGCCUCUUCCUAUGCCAGCAGCAGUACACUCUCGAGCUUCUUGAGCGCGCAUCUAUGCUUACAUGCAAACCCGUAUCCACACCGGUCGACAUCAGCUCCAAACUGUCUUCUAAUGAUGGUGCCUUGCUCUCUAACCCCACUCACUACCGUAGUAUCACCGAAGCUCUACAAUACCUCACCCUAACCCGCCCGGAUAUUACAUAUGCGGUCCAACAAGCCUGUCUAUUCAUGCAUGCUCCACGCGAUAUCCAUUGGCAGCUUGUGAAGCACAUCCUCCGAUACCUCCAGGGUACAUCACACUACGGCCUCCAGCUUUUUCGGUCACCCUCCACUGACCUCAUUGCUUACAUCGAUGCCGAUUGGGCCGGGUGUCCGGACACACGUAGGUCGACCUCUGGUUUUUGUGUGUUCCUUGGAGCCAACCUCAUCUCCUGGUCCUCCAAGCGCCAACCCACCAUCUCACGAUCCAGUGCCGAGGCUGAAUAUCGAGGUGUUGCAAACUGUGUGGCUGAAGCUUGUUGGUUGCGGCAACUUCUUCAUGAGCUCAGGGUACCACCCAAACGUGCACCGUGGUGUAUUGCGACAACAUCAGUGCCUCCUACCUUGCAAGCAAUCCGGUCCAGCAUCAACGAACCAAGCAUAUUGAGAUUGACUUGCAUUUUGUUCGGGAUCGUGUGGCACUUGGCGAAGUUCGAGUCUUACAUGUGCCAUCCAGUUCGCAGUAUGCCGACAUCUUCACCAAGGGACUGCCCUCGCCAGUCUUCACUGAGUUUCGAUCCAGCCUGA